ensembl:lncRNA
CCCCAAUUUUACCCCAAAAAUGAGCCUCAAAAUCUCCCAAUUUCAGCCCAAAAAUGAGCCCCCAAAUCCUCAAAUUUCAGCCCAAAAAUGGACCCCCAAAUCCCCCCAUUUCAGCCCAAAAAUGAGCUCCCCAAAUCCCCCAAUUUGGGCCCAAAAAUGAACCCCAAAAUCCCCCCAUUUCAGCCCAAAAAUGAGUCUCAAAAUCCCCCAAUUUGGGCCCAAAAAUGAACCCCAAAAGCCCACAAUUUCAGCCCAAAAAAGAGCCCCAAAAUCCCCCAAUUUGGGCCCAAAAAUGAACCCCGAAAUCCCAUUUCAGCCCAAAAAUGGACCCCCAAAUUCCCCCAUUUCAGCCCAAAAAUGAGUCUGAAAAUCCCCCAUUUCAACCCCUAAAAGUGCCCCCAAAUCCCCCAAUUUUACCCCAAAAACGAACCCCCAAAGCCCCUAAUUUGAGUCGAAAAAAGAGCCCCCAAAUCCCCCCAUUUCAGCCCAAAAAUGAGCCCCCAAAAUCCCCCAAUUUGGGCCCAAAAAUGAACCCCAAAAUCCUCAAAUUUCAGCCCAAAAAUGGACCCCCAAAAGCCCCCAAUUUUACCCCAAAAAUGAACCCCCAAAUGCCCAAAUUUCGCCCCAAAAGAGCCCAAAAUCCCACAUUUGGCCCCAAAUUUCAGCCCAAAACAAUCCAAAAUCCCAAAUCUGACCCCAAAAAGACCCCCAAAAGACCCCAAAAUCCCAAAUCCAACCCACAAUAGACCCCAAAAAGACCCAUAAAUCCCAAAUCCCCCCCAAGAAGACCCCAAAAGACCCAUAAUCCGAAAUCCAACCCCCAAAAGACCCCAAAAAGACCCCAAAAGACCCCACAAUCCCAAAUCCCCCCCAAAAAGACCCCAAAAGACCCCAAAAUCCCAAAUCCAACCCCCAAAAAGACCCCAAAGACCCCAAAAGACCCCACAAUCCCAAAUCCCCCCCAAAAAGACCCCAAAAGACCCCAAAAUCCCAAAUCCAACCCCCAAAAAGACCCCAAAGACCCCAAAAGACCCCACAAUCCCAAAUCCCCCCCAAAAAGACCCCAAAAAGACCCCAAAAUCCCAAAUCCAACCCCCAAAAAGACCCCAAAGACCCCAAAAGACCCCACAAUCCCAAAUCCCCCCCAAGAAGACCCCAAAAGACCCCAAAAUCCCAAAUCCAACCCCCAAAAAGACCCCAAAGACCCCAAAAUCCCAAAUCCAACCCCCAAAAGAUCCAAAAAGACCCCAAAAUCCCAAAUCCAACCCCCAAAAAGACCCCAAAAAGACCCCAAAAUCCCAAAUCCCCCCCAAAAAACCCCAAAAGACCCCACAAUCCCAAAUCCCCCCCAAGAAGACCCCAAAAAGACCCCCAAAAGACCCCAAAAUCCCAAAUCCAAUCCCCCAAAAGACCCCAAAAGACCCCAAAA